rnacentral:rRNA from 1 species
UACCCGCUGAACUUAAGCAUAUCAAUAAGCGGAGAGAAA